CUACGGGCCGCAGCAGUUAGGAAUAAUCUACAAUGCGCGAAAGCGUGAUAGUUUGAGCCAGAGUGCUUCUCAUUGAGAAGCUUUUGCCAAAUGUAAAAAGUUUGGCGAAUAAGGACUGGGCAAGACGAGUGCCAGCCGCCGCGGUAAUACUCGCGGUCCAAGUCGCAGCCAUAUUUAUUGGGUCUAAAACAUCCGUAGCUUGUUAUGUAAGUUUCUUGUGGAAUUCUGAGUCUUAAACUUAGAGCGAGCGGGAAAUACUGCAUGGCUAGAGACCGGAAGACGGAAGAAGUACGUCUAAAGUAACGGUAAAAUGUGUUGAUCUUAGACGGACUCACAACAGCGAAGGCAUCUUUCGAGAACGGUUCUGACAGUGAGGGAUGAAGGCUAGGGGCGCAAAACGGAUUAGAUACCCGGGUAGUC
rnacentral:rRNA from 1 species